UACGUAGGGUGCGGGCGUUGUCCGGAAUUAUUGGGCGUAAAGGGCUCGUAGGCGGUUUGUCGCGUCGGGAGUGAAAACUCAGGGCUUAACCCUGAGCCUGCUUCCGAUACGGGCAGACUAGAGUUCGGUAGGGGAGACUGGAAUUCCUGGUGUAGCGGUGAAAUGCGCAGAUAUCAGGAGGAACACCGAUGGCGAAGGCAGGUCUCUGGGCAUUAACUGACGCUGAGGAGCGAAAGCAUGGGGAGCGAACAGG
rnacentral:rRNA from 1 species